rnacentral:rRNA from 1 species
GAUGAACGCUGGCGGCGUGCUUAACACAUGCAAGUCGAACGAAGCACCUUGAUUUGAUUCUUCGGAUGAAGAUCUUGGUGACUGAGUGGCGGACGGGUGAGUAACGCGUGGGUAACCUGCCUCAUACAGGGGGAUAGCAGUUAGAAAUGACUGCUAAUACCGCAUAAGACCACAGCACCGCAUGGUGCAGGGGUAAAAACUCCGGUGGUAUGAGAUGGACCCGCGUCUGAUUAGGUAGUUGGUGGGGUAACGGCCUACCAAGCCGACGAUCAGUAGCCGACCUGAGAGGGUGACCGGCCACAUUGGGACUGAGACACGGCCCAAACUCCUACGGGAGGCAGCAGUAGGGAAUAUUGCACAAUGGGGGAAACCCUGAUGCAGCGACGCCGCGUGAGCGAUGAAGUAUUUCGGUAUGUAAAGCUCUAUCAGCAGGGAAGAAAAUGACGGUACCUGACUAAGAAGCACCGGCUAAAUACGU